rnacentral:other from 1 species
AUGUGACUGGUUCAUACGUCAGUGCAUUCAUUAUCUUUGAACCGAUACUUAAAUGAAAGGCGAUAUUCCACUGUCGAUGUUGUGCAUUACCAUAGGGAAGCCUGAUUCGACAUGAGCUUUGCCACCUGGACUUUCGGUUCAGGAAAAAUGCACAGCGGUGAAUUGGUUAUUAG